rnacentral:lncRNA from 1 species
UUUCCUAGUGAGGUUCUAAUAGUUGAUGUUUCCUAGAGAAGUUGUGAAUACUAUAUAUUUCUUAGAGAGGUUGUGAAUACUCGAUUUAUCUAAAGAUGUAGUAGAAUACUCCUAUUACUAUUAGGAGAAUAGUGGGAAGUCUUCAAUUGAUGCAUGACAGCAUGAGGGUUUGGACAUAGCUCAAGGUUGAUCGAACCAUGUUAAAUCUCAUAUUUUUAUUCUCUUAUCCCUUAAACUCUUUAUUGCUUGGGUUUAUUACUAAUCGCGAGGAUUUGAAUUUGAGGGAGUUAACAUUUGAAAUUAUUUUAUUUAUUCUACAUUAUAUUGCUCUGAAAGAAAUAAUUUCUAUCAAGUGUCUUAUUUUUUAAUAAUUAUAUUGUUUGUAAAGAAAAGUAUUUUUAUUCUCUUCCUGUGUAUGCAUAUGGUACUUCAAUCGGUAACAGGGAUCAGCCUCAAAAGGGUUGAGAACUUAACAGGCGUUGAGGCAUUAUAAUCGACAACCACAAAGCAUGAAGGGUAAGCUUUCACUAGGCCUACUCUUUGAUGGAAUUUAUUAUGAUUAUUGAAAGAACAAUGUGAUGGAAUUCAUGGAUGCACAAAACAUUGAUAUAUGGGAACUGAUUGACAAUGUGUAGUCGAAACCUAAGGACAAAGUUGGUGGAUCCUCCCUAGAAGCAGAUCCACUACUAAUCGGAAGAGCUAGUAUCAAAUGAACCGUAAAACUAAGCACUAUCUGAAGUAUGCUAUUACUAUGUAAGAACAUGACAAGGUGCACAACUACGUUGCUAAUGAAAUUUUGGACACCUUGACACUUUCUCAUGAAGGCUCAUCUUGAGUUAAGGAUUCAAAAAUCAGCAUAUUAGCUCAUCAACAUGUGCUCUUCAAAAUAUUGGAAUUAUCCAUCGAUCAAAUGCUUUUGUUGAUUCUGAACAAGGACAAACAAUCUCAAAUCAUUGAGGAAGACAAAUGCUAACAAGGAUCAUGUGAGAAAGAUCUUGAGAAGUCUGUCCAAGCAGUAUAGAUCAAAGGUGACAAUUAACCAAGAAGCAAAAGAUUUAAAGAAAUCUAAAGAAUUAAAUGAUAAAUAAUUUGAGUUUCAAGAAGCCAUUU